AGUGAACGCUGGCGGUGGGCCUAACACAUGCAAGUCGAACGGCAGCACAGUAAGAGCUUGCUCUUACGGGUGGCGAGUGGCGGACGGGUGAGGAAUACAUCGGAAUCUACUUUUUCGUGGGGGAUAACGUAGGGAAACUUACGCUAAUACCGCAUACGACCUACGGGUGAAAGCAGGGAUCUUCGGACCUUGCGCGAUUGAAUGAGCCGAUGUCGGAUUAGCUAGUUGGCGGGGUAAAGGCCCACCAAGGCGACGAUCCGUAGCUGGUCUGAGAGGAUGAUCAGCCACACUGGAACUGAGACACGGUCCAGACUCCUACGGGAGGCAGCAGUGGGGAAUAUUGGACAAUGGGCGCAAGCCUGAUCCAGCCAUACCGCGUGGGUGAAGAAGGCCUUCGGGUUGUAAAGCCCUUUUGUUGGGAAAGAAAAGCAGCAGGUUAAUACCCCGCUGUUCUGACGGUACCCAAAGAAUAAGCAUCGGCUAACUUCGUG
rnacentral:rRNA from 1 species